UUGAUUGAAAUAAAAUGCCAAAGCAACGCUUGGCGAUUUUGCUAGUGUAAAGAUGAUGGUCAAAUGUUAUAACUGUCCUAUUUUUUCUUAUUUUUAAUCUAAUAAAAUCUUUCUUAUUUUUUUGAGUGGUUACUACAAAAACUAAAAUGAUGAGAUAAAAAAUAGACACGACAUGUUUUAGAGAAUUUGUGUAGAUUCUCCUAAAAUUAAAUGCAGCUAAUAUUAUAAAUCGAAGAAAGUAAUUAUGUAUAGGUGGAUUGUGUUCGGUGCUUUUUUUUUUUUGAUUGUCCCUCUGUUUUUAGGAUUUGGCUCUGACUAAUCCGAAUCCGACCUCCGUCACACAUCUGAUAUGGUGGAUAAAUCUUUCAGCAAGAAUUUUCUGAAUUCACAAGACUCAAAAUCGAGACUUUAAUUUCUUAUAUUGUGCUCGGUCUUUUUAUGAAAGUAAAUAUGUAAAUAUCGAACUGCCUUUGAGAUCUCGAUCCUUCGACAGUAGAGAAAGGACAACUCCAACGCUGGACGCCCGACCUUUCCCAUUAUACUAGGAAAAGGACAGGUGUCAUAACACCGGCCAUACUUGUCAAGGAAUGGGUGCCUCGUGUCUCUUAUUUAUAUACUCCAAAUUAACAAGUGUAGAGAUUUUAAUCAAUUUGCAGCGUGCAUCACAUUAGAGACGUGAGAUAAUAAUAAAAGUAAGAAUUAUUAUUAUAAAUUAUAAUUCAAACUCAA